GGCAAAGUUGUAGCCUUGCUUACGGGGCUGCGCCCCCCCCCCAAGCAC
rnacentral:tRNA from 1 species